AGCGGGUAUCCCUACCUGAUCCGAGGUCAACCUGAAAAAAUUGGGGUUAUUGGCAAGUAACCACCUGGAUCUCCAAAGCGAGAAGAAUUACUACGCUUGAAGCCAAAUGGCACCGCCACUGAUUUUAAGACCUGCCAGAAGCGUGCAAUGUCCAAUACCAAGCAAAGCUUGAGGGUUGUAAUGACGCUCGAACAGGCAUG
rnacentral:misc_RNA from 1 species